rnacentral:rRNA from 1 species
UACAGAGGGUGCAAGCGUUAAUCGGAAUUACUGGGCGUAAAGCGUGCGUAGACGGUUAUGUAAGUCAGAUGUGAAAGCCCCGGGCUCAACCUGGGAAUUGCAUUUGAGACUGCAUAGCUAGGGUGCGGAAGAGGGAAGCGGAAUUUCCGGUGUAGCGGUGAAAUGCGUAGAUAUCGGAAGGAACACCAGUGGCGAAGGCGGCGACCUGGACGGACACUGACGCUGAGACGCGAAAGCGUGGGGAGCAAACAGG